AGUGAACGCUGGCGGUAGGCCUAACACAUGCAAGUCGAACGGCAGCACAGUAAGAGCUUGCUCUUACGGGUGGCGAGUGGCGGACGGGUGAGGAAUACAUCGGAAUCUACUUUUUCGUGGGGGAUAACGUAGGGAAACUUACGCUAAUACCGCAUACGACCUACGGGUGAAAGCAGGGGAUCUUCGGACCUUGCGCGAUUGAAUGAGCUGAUGUCGGAUUAGCUAGUUGACGGGGUAAAGGCCCACCAAGGCGACGAUCCGUAGCUGGUCUGAGAGGAUGAUCAGCCACACUGGAACUGAGACACGGUCCAGACUCCUACGGGAGGCAGCAGUGGGGAAUAUUGGACAAUGGGCGCAAGCCUGAUCCAGCCAUACCGCGUGGGUGAAGAAGGCCUUCGGGUUGUAAAGCCCUUUUGUUGGGAAAGAAAAGCAGCAGGUUAAUACCCCGCUGUUCUGACGGUACCCAAAGAAUAAGCACCGGCUAACUUCGUG
rnacentral:rRNA from 1 species